rnacentral:rRNA from 1 species
UACGGAGGGUGCAAGCGUUAUCCGGAUUUAUUGGGUUUAAAGGGUCCGUAGGCGGAUCGGUAAGUCAGUGGUGAAAUCUCAUAGCUUAACUAUGAAACUGCCAUUGAUACUGUCGGUCUUGAGUGUAUUUGAAGUAGCUGGAAUGAGUAGUGUAGCGGUGAAAUGCAUAGAUAUUACUCAGAACACCAAUUGCGAAGGCAGGUUACUAAGAUACAACUGACGCUGAUGGACGAAAGCGUGGGGAGCGAACAGG